CAACACUGUAACCCAGCCUGUUAACUACAGUAGAAGGUAUAUGUAGUCAACACUGUAACCCAGCCUGUUAACUACAGUAGAAGGUAUAUGUAGUCAACACUGUAACCCAGCCUGUUAACUACAGUAGAAGGUAUAUGUAGUCAACACUGUAACCCAGCCUGUUAACUACAGUAGAAGGUAUAUGUAGUCAACACUGUAACCCAGCCUGUUAACUACAGUAGAAGGUAUAUGUAGUCAACACUGUAACCCAGCCUGUUAACUACAUGAGAAGGUAUAUGUAGUCAACACUGUAACCCAGCCUGUUAACUACAGUAGAAGGUAUAUGUAGUCAACACUGUAACCCAGCCUGUUAACUACAGUAGAAGGUAUAUGUAGUCAACACUAUAACCCAGCCUGUUAACUACAGUAGAAGGUAUAUGUAGUCAACACUAUAACCCAGCCUGUUAACUACAGUAGAAGGUAUAUGUAGUCAACACUGUAACCCAGCCUGUUAACUACAGUAGAAGGUAUAUGUAGUCAACACUGUAACCCAGCCUGUUAACUACAGUAGAAGGUAUAUGUAGUCAACACUGUAACCCAGCCUGUUAACUACAGUAGAAGGUAUAUGUAGUCAACACUGUAACCCAGCCUGUUAACUACAGUAGAAGGUAUAUGUAGUCAACACUGUAACCCAGCCUGUUAACUACAGUAGAAGGUAUAUGUAGUCAACACUGUAACCCAGCCUGUUAACUACAGUAGAAGGUAUAUGUAGUCAACACUAUAACCCAGCCUGUUAACUACAGUAGAAGGUAUAUGUAGUCAACACUGUAACCCAGCCUGUUAACUACAGUAGAAGGUAUAUGUAGUCAACACUGUAACCCAGCCUGUUAACUACAGUAGAAGGUAUAUGUAGUCAACACUGUAACCCAGCCUGUUAACUACAGUAGAAGGUAUAUGUAGUCAACACUGUAACCCAGCCUGUUAACUACAGUAGAAGGUAUAUGUAGUCAACACUGUAACCCAGCCUGUUAACUACAGUAGAAGGUAUAUGUAGUCAACACUGUAACCCAGCCUGUUAACUACAGUAGAAGGUAUAUGUAGUCAACACUAUAACCCAGCCUGUUAACUACAGUAGAAG